CAAAUCUUGACAUCCUUUGACCGCUCUAGAGAUAGAGUCUUCCCCUUCGGGGGACAAAGUGACAGGUGGUGCAUGGUUGUCGUCAGCUCGUGUCGUGAGAUGUUGGGUUAAGUCCCGCAACGAGCGCAACCCUUAAGCUUAGUUGCCAUCAUUAAGUUGGGCACUCUAGGUUGACUGCCGGUGACAAACCGGAGGAAGGUGGGGAUGACGUCAAAUCAUCAUGCCCCUUAUGAUUUGGGCUACACACGUGCUACAAUGGAUAAUACAAAGGGCAGCGAAUCCGCGAGGCCAAGCAAAUCCCAUAAAAUUAUUCUCAGUUCGGAUUGUAGUCUGCAACUCGACUACAUGAAGCUGGAAUCGCUAGUAAUCGUAGAUCAGCAUGCUACGGUGAAUACGUUCCC
rnacentral:rRNA from 1 species